GGGUGUUCGCAGCAUGGGGCUGCGAGCAGGGACUGCGUCGGUCGGGCCGCCACG
rnacentral:ncRNA from 2 species